rnacentral:miRNA from 1 species
AUCUAUUAGGUUGGUGCAAAAGUAAUUGUGGUUCUUGACAUCUUUUUAAAAGACAAAAAUCGCAAUUACUUUUGCACCAA